ACAAAAACACGCCAUAUCGUCCAAUAUAUACAUAUAUAUAUAUAUAUAUAAUUAUACUCUACAAAAAAUAUAUAAAACGGCGAGUUACUUCAUUAUUUAGACACAACACAAUUUCAUACAAAUUUAUACUUUGUCUACUUUUUACAAGUUCUCCACAAACCAAAAUCAAAAAUGGGCGCAGAAAAGGUAUCCAUGAACAUCGUUGUCGUCGGACAAGUGCAAUCUGCCAAGUCUGUCAAAAUCGUUUCAAAGGCCCAACCUCAAGCUUCCAACACUAUGAGUUGUUAAGCGGUCGCAGAUAAUUCAAGAAACAAAUCAAAAAUGCCAUAGACUAAAGUUGAAAGUCUUGUUAACAUUAUGUUAUUCAAGUAGUUUUCAAGACUUUCAAUACCAACCAUUACAUAUUAUGUUAUUAAUAUGUAUUGUUAUUAUCAAAAAAAUUCAUAAAUAAAUUAUAAAUGUACUGUUA